AAAAAUGGGAGUUCCCUGCACAAGCUCUCUUUGCCUGCUGCCAUCCACGUACGAUGUGACUGCCAUGUGGAACUUUAUCUUCACUAGAUCAAUAAACUCCCAGUGCCUGGAAUGAGAUCUGCGACAUAGCUGACAUCCAAAGCCCUUCUAGGAGGGGGAGAAGCCUAGGGAUAUGGGGACAUCACAAAGAGCCAGAAGUGGCACCAACAGAAAGGCUGUGAGCAGGAACUGGAUGGUGACAGAUGAUGAUCACCCUUCCUUGCAUCACUGCGUGCCAGGCAACUCAUCCCUUAAGAUAAACCCUGACAGAAAAUAAUCAAUUUGAAUUUAAAAAAAUGUGUAAUGCAUUCGUUAAUGUGAAAACAGACAAUGCUCUGUUGAGUAAUUUCAAGGUGAAUUGCCUUUUAAUGGGGUGGGGGUUGAGGGGAACUUUUUAAACUCUUUCAGCUGUGACCUACAGUAUGAAACACAUUUUGUACUGCAUCCCAGUACACAGGCAGAUGAAUGUAAAACUGAUUUAAUGAAACACUUCCCUUUGCUACUUGUGAGGCACUCUAAAAAUUAUUUUAUUCCAUUUUGAAACCACUAUCCAAAAUUCACUAAAGUGAUUUUGUUACCCCCUGAUGAGUCACUAUUCGCAAUUACUUCAAGAGAAUAAUCCAUUUGACUGCCUCCUUCCAGUUAUUUUUUUUCCUAUUUCUUGAGAUAAAAAGCCUCCACAACCACAUCUCAUGAACUACUCAAAGCUAGAAAUCAAAGGACUCAAGGUCAUGACCAAAGAGGAAUACUCAAAAAUGACAGAAAUUAUAGUAUUAUCUUAAGCAUAAAUACAGACAACCACGUGGCAUGGGAUCCGAUGAAAUAAGAAUAAAGGUUCAGGAAACAGUCUCUUUUGCCCAUCUCACCAGCCAUGAUGACCAGUGUUUUAAGAGAAAAACAACACAGUCAACAGCCAGAAGGUUAGAUUGAUCUUGUUUGGCUGUUUAAAUUUGUUUCCUUACCACCUGAAAACCCAAACCUCUAGUCAGCCAAAAUAGUUCAGUAAGUGUUAUUGGCUAUGAUUCUAACUUUUCCUCAAGGCCAGGGGCAGCAAAGAAUCUGGGGCUCCAUCCCACAUAAAGAGAACAAAGAUCUUGAGUUCCGUUGGUGAGAAUCUAGCAGCAGUAGGACCCAUCUGCUGGUUUCUCACCUCCUUCGAACUGCCAGUGAUGGUAUCAUCCUGAGGGUGCACAACCCCCCACCACAGACAGCCCCCAGAGGGCAAACUCCUGGCCAGCCGGGUUCCCAAUGCUGCCUCCAUCAGGAUGAUAGUGACAGGCAAUAACUGCUGAGCACAGGCUGUGUGUCUGGCACUGCGGCUAAGAGCCUUCCCAUUGCCUUCUACCAGCCCAUGUGACUGCCUGUGCUGACUGGGAGGUUUUACGGAUUAUUUACUGUCCCAAUUAUGCCCCCAGCAACAAAGAAUUUAACUUUCUAACAAACCUGUCUUCUGUCCAGUUCAGUAUGGUAGCCACUAGCUGCCCCACUCCAACCCGUGCAGCCUCUCCAAGCUUUACAUGCAUGUUGGAUUAAAGGACAAUCUUAUACUAGAAUUGGAAUGGAACUGAUACUAAUUAUGGGGCAGAUGGUGCUGGCGGGAGAAAAGCUGCAAAGAAAGAUAUGCAAAUAUGCAAUUCAAUACAGUGUGAUACGUGCCUCAACAGGCGGAAGGGCAGGAUUAAGCCCAGGUCUCAGGGAGCUGUGCCCUCAGGGAGAAAGGCUGAGAAGUGGGUCUGAAUUGUACAAGCACAGGGAUGGAAAGGACAUUCUGGAAUGAGGACCCAGUGUGGGCCAUGGCCCAGGGUGAAGAGGAAGCACAUCACACAGAGAUUUCUGGGGCGUGGAGGUGUUGCAAAGAAGUUUGGGCUUCAGCCUAAGAGGAAUCGUGGCCCAAUAAGGGGUUUUAGACAGGUCUUACAAUGCUGUAGGAAAAAAUACACAGUUGCCGGAUGAAGCAGGGGUAGAUUGGAGGGGGCGAGUAUGCAGGCCAUACAAUGGUGAUCUGAAUUAGAGUGACGGGAGUGCAUAUGCAGAAAAAGCAGGAGAUUUAAGAAAUAUGGGUACUGAAUUAACAGGACGUGGCCACUGGCUGGCUGUGGAUGUGAGGCAGUGACUGAAGAUGGCAGCAAGUUUCAGGUGCCAACAAUGGGGUAAAUGGCGACCCCAGGGGUCAGGAGGAGCCACAGGUAGAGAGAGGAGCUAGUGCAUUUUCACUUUUUCUUGAUUGCAGGAGCCAGGCCUUCCAGUCUAACCCACUGUUAUGGAGAAAUGAGCCAGAGCAUACGAGCAAAGGGGAAUGUACCUCCUGCCUUCGUGAGUAAAGGGAAAGAAACCUACAUAGGAAGCAUGAAUAUUUAUACAUUUAGUUUGAUAUUUUCCUCUUUUAUUUUUUAUGUCAUAAGUAACGUCUAUUCAUUAUCAAAAAUAUAAAAAGUACAGAGAAGCAGAAUCAGGAUGACCUAGUCAGGUGGCCCAGCAGGCACAGUGCUGCAGGCCCAUGAUGCUUUCAGAGGCCCCUGAAAAUAUUUCAAGUUCAAUUUAAAUCAGAAGGAAAACGUAAAUAGAAUAAUGAAUAUAUAAUAAUGAAUCUGGCCACGAUUAUAUUCAUCUUUAUAAUAAUGCAGUCAUAAAAUGUUAAGUUUUAAUACUGUUUUAUGAAGGAAGGGACCCACAAAGGCAAAAGUACCUAGGGCACAUGAAAGUAAUAAUAUGGCUAUAGUGUAGAUGAAGAAAGAGCAUCCAUAAAUCCCUAGCUAUAAAUCUCUACCUAUAAAUCUAUCAUAAAUAUGCAUAAAUCUACCACGCCUACAUCUGUAAGUCUCUCUCAUGUCUAUAUCUAUUAAUAAUCCAUCUAUCUUAAUACCUCCCUAUAUAUGAUCACCUCAAAUCCCACCAUCUCAGUUAGGUUUCUUCCUCUACUCCCAAUUUUUUAAUUAGUUCAAAAACUGCCUUUUAUCUGAAUCUACAUGACUGCUCAGUGAAGUGCAAAUGCUUCAGCCUUUCUAGGGGUUAAUUUGGUAAAUAAAUAAAAAGCUUUAAGAUUUCAGAUCAUUUGACACAGAACUUCUUCUAAGAAUUAAUUUACAGGAAAUAAUCACAUAGAAUUACAAGGAUGUUCAUCACAGUGCUAUUUCUCAUGAAAAAGGGAAAUGUCCUUAAAUAUCCUGCAACGAGUCUAGUCAAGUUAAUUAGAGUAGAUACACACAACGGAACACUAAGCAGACAUUAAAUAAUGAUACAAUUAUAUUUUUGUUAUCGUGGAUAGUUACAAUAUAUUAAAUAACAGAAUAUUUAAAAAUACAUACCUUAAUCCUGUUUUAAUGCCCAAAAAGUGUAGAAAAGUACAUAUGAAUCCCUCUUGGUUGCACAGUAAUAGAUAAUUAUUGGUUCUGCUUCUCUGCAUGUUUAAAUUGUUUUAGCAUUGAGCAUAUAUUACCCGUGAAUUUUAAAAUACUAAAAGUAUGCACUAUCUAAUUCAGAAUCUGUUGGAAGACACUUGGCUAAGGAAAUUAUUAAGAUGUGUGUAAAGACAGAGAUACAGGUCUCCUUCUUCAUCAAAUUUUCCCUCUCUACCAAAUCUUCCCCAAGAGCAUAUAAACAUGCUGUUAUUUCUCCCACCAAUAAAAAAAAUCUCACUUGACUAUAACUUCCCUUCCAGCUUCCACCUUAUUUUCUGUAUCACUGUGAAGCAAAGCCCCUUUAAAUGGUCAUCUAUAUCAGUACCUCUCAAACUAUCUGCAGUGAAAACCAGUUUGUUUUCAAUGUCUAACUUGUUGAUUAGAAACAGACCCUCCUGAAAAAGUAUAAUGAAAAUUAACCACUAGAAAAAUGAUCAUGGGCUUGAAGGCUGUGGUGACGUCAAAUGGUGCAAAAGUUUCUAAAAGCCUCCUCUUCACUAACUCCUCACAGCCAUCAGCAGCCCACACUGAGCAACACGCAUCUCUACUGAUUGUCCCAUUGCCUCUGCCCCUGCUUGCUCUUAACCCAUCUAGUUGGGCUCUCUCCUCCCCCACUCCAGUGAAAUCACUCUUGUUCAGGUCACCCUGACCUCCACCUUACUAAAAAUCAAUGAUCAGAUCUCAGUCCUCAUUUAACCCCAUCACCUGCAAUCUCUCCUUCACCUUGAAUUGAACUUUCUCUUGAGUUUCUUCCUAUGCCCCUGGAGCCCCACUCAAUUCCUUCCCCAGCCUCCUCUUCUCCCAAGCCUCUAAAUCUUGGGGUGCUCUAGGGAUCAAUUCUAGGGCCUCUUCGAUUCUUUCAUUCAGUCUCAUAGCUUUAAAUAUUAUCUACAUACUGUUGAUGCUCAAAGUUAAAUCUCCAAUUCAAAACCAUCCCCUAAACUCCAGACACAUAUAUCCAAUUAUGAAAUCAACAUCUCUAAUUAGAUGUCUAAACAGCAUCUCAAAAUUAACACAAACGAAACAGAACUCCUAAUCUUCUAUGCCCCCCAUCAAUUUCAGUGAUGACUCCCUGCUUCUAGUCAUCCAUCCUUCACUCCUCUUAUUCCCCACUCCACAUCCAAUCAGCCAGGAAAAUCCUGUUGGCUCUACCUUUAACAUAAAUCCUGAAUCCAACCUUUUUACAAUACCACCACUGCUAACACUCUGGUUCAGGACACCAUCAUCUCUCAACUUGCUUAUUGUAGUGGGGUAUAUUAACUUGCUCUCCCACAGUCUAAUCUCAAUAGAUGAGCCACACAAUUCUUUGAAAUUAUAAAUCAUAUAAUGUCACAUGUAUGCUCAAUCUGCCCAACAGCUUCUCUUUCUAUGUAGACCAAAAGCCAAAUUGGUUACAAGGGCCUACAAGCACCUGAAGAAUCUCUCACCCACUAUCCCACUUUUAUUUUUUUUUUUUUUUUGAGACAGAGUCUUGCUGUGUCACCCAGGCUGGAGUGCAGUGGCAUGAUCUCGGUUCACUGCAAUCUCUGCUUCCUGAGUUCAAGCGAUUCUCCCGCCUCAGUGUCCCAAGUAGCUGGGACUACAGGCGCCUGCCACCACGCCUGGCUAAUUUUUUUUUUUUUAAUUUUUAGUAGAGACAGGGUUUCACUAUGCUGGCCAGGCUGGUCUUGAACUUCUGACCUCGUGAUCCACCUUCCUCACCUUCUCAAAGUGCUGGAAUUGCAGGUGUGAGCCACUGUGCCUGGCCACCCUCUACCCCACUCUUAUACUAUCUUCCCCUGGUUCUCUCUGCUUCAGCCCCACUGGCCUCUGUGUUGUUACUUUCUCAUGGCAAACACCCAUGCCUCAGGGUCUUCACAUUGGCUGCUCCCUCUUUCUGGAAAACUCUUUUCCAGACACUAUCUUCCUCACUUCCUCACUUCAUUCAUAAUUUUGAUCAAUGUCACCUUCUCAAUGAGGCAAUCUCAUGAGUCCUCCCUUUUCUGCUGCAUUUUUCUCCAUUUUUCACCAUAUGACAUACUUCUUUAUCUGUUUAUUAUCUUUCUCCAACUAAAAUAUAUGCUCUUUAAGGGAAUGGAGAGUAGUCAGAUUAUUUCACUGCUAUAGCCCCAGUGCUAACAUGUUAAGUGUAUUAACUGAGCAAAUGUUCAUCCCGGUGCUCUUUAUAAGAAAAAAAAUUUGCAAACAAUAUAAAUACCUGUCAAUGGGAGACAUACUUUCAUAAAAUGAAAUACUAUUUAUAUCCAUAUCCACAAAAUGACCCUAUCUAUAAAAUGGAAUACUAUGCAAUUAUUAAAAGCUUGAAUGAAAUACAAAUGAACAUAUUUUCUGAAAGAUGUCUCUAACACAUUAAGUGAAAAGAAUCAGGAUAUAAAGUAAUACGCAUAUUAGUUCAUUUUUAUAAUAAAAUCACAUAGGAGAAUUUGGUACAGUAUAUGUGAUAUGGUUCGUCUGUGUCCCCACCCAAAUCUCAUCUUGAAUUUUAGCUUCCAUAAUUCCCAAGUGUUGUGGGAGGGACCCAGUGGGAGAUAAAUGAAUCAUGGGAGCAAUUUCCUCCUUACUGUUCUCAUGGUAGUGAAUAAGUAAGUCUCACGAGACAAGGGGAAACCCCUUUCACUUGGCUGUCAUUCCCUCUUGGCCUGCUGCCAUGUAAGACGUGCCUUUUGCCUUGGGCCAUGAUUAUGAGGUCUCCCCAGACAGGUGGAACUGUGAGUCCAUUAAACCUCUUUUUCUUUAUAAAUUACCCAGUCUCAGCUAUGUCUUUAUCAGCAGCAUGAAAAUGGACUAAUACGAUGUGCAUUAAGGUAAACUCUUAUCUAAAACAAAAACAAAACAAAUGAUGAAAACAAUGAGCCCUGUGAGGCCUUACAUUUGAAGUUUCUUCUGAUGAUGGUAAUGACACAGAAAAGCAGCAGGAUGAAUUCUCACUCAGGCAAGUCGAUGGGAAAAUAAGUGAGUGCAUUUUGGUAGGAUUCUUAUGGACUCUGGUAAAAAGCAAUUUCUCAAACAAUUAAAUUGCCAAUAAAAGACAAAGAAACAUGAGAGCUAUGCUUCUUGGGGAUAGGUAUGACUUGCAGAAAUGUUAAUAGCAUUUGCAUUUAGGUUCAUUUCUUCCUCCAUGUGUCAGGUUUAUUCAAACACUGCUGUUUCCACCUAAAGAUGGGCCAGCCCCCAAAAGCUGCACUGGCAUUAUAACGGAGUGGCCACCAAACCUAGCCCAGAGGAUGCUUACAUGGGAAAAUAGAGGGGGAGAAAUAAUGAAAAUAGAGGGAUUUUUUUUUUUUUUUACCACUUCCUAUAUCUGUUCUGGCAAAAUUAAUGUUUAAUUCCUCUCAAAAGAUUCUGAUGGUUGAUACUUCAAAGGAGAAAAAUAUGCAGAAUGAGAAAAGCAUAUUUCACAGCCAGGUACGGUGGUUCAUGUCUGUAAUCCCAGCACUUUGGGAGGCCAGAGCAGUUGGCUUGCUUGAGUCCAGGAGUUCGAGACCAGCCUGGGUAACAUGGUGAAACCCUGUCUCUACCAAAAAAAAAAAAAAAAAAAAAAUACAAAAAUUAGCUGGGUGUGGUGGCAUGUGUCUGUGGUUCCAGCUACUUGGGAGGCUGAUAUGGGAGGAUCAUUUGAACCUAGGAAGCAGAGGUUGCAGUGAGCUGUAACUGCAUUACUGCACUCCAGCCCGGGUGACCCUGUCUCAAACAAACAAACAAACAAACAGAAAAGCCCAUUUUGCUUAAUUCUCUGUCCAAAAGCUGAGAGUCGUCAUACCUGCAUGGGAGAGGUAAGUCCUUUGAUCCAUGCUUUGAGGUUGCCUAUUCCCCAGGAGCCCUUUAUAACAAGGCCUGUGGGCACUUCCAUAAUUCUCUUGUACAAAACGGAAUAGCCAAUUCAGGUUAUACAUAUGUCACUCAAGAACAGGUGACAACAAAGUUCAAGUAUAACUAAUGUAGUGGUUACAGUCAGCAUAUUGGUUACAUAACAAGGAGUACCAUAGUAGCUUUAGAGCUGGUGGCCACCUGGACAUCCCAGCAUUUCCCCGCCUAGGAACAUGAGGACCAUACAGGAGACGCUUGUCUAGAGCUGCUUGGUAGUGGAGCCAGAACUAGAAUCCAGGUCUUCUAAUGCUUAAUCUCUCUCAGGCACUGUGAGUGGCUCUUGCCACCCCAGAGUAAUAUCCACUUAGCCAUGAUCUGAAUUCCCAGGGAAGGGUAGGUCCAAACUUGGGAGGGGGCCAUUGGGCCGCCUAGGAAUCAACUGCAGAGUCUAUUAAGCUUGCUGAUUUCUGGAUUCCCCUGCAGGAAUUUGCAUUUCACAGAAGCUCCCUGAAGUGAAUCUGAUACACAGCCAAGUCAGGAAUCACUGGACUAAGUUAUACAAGACAGAAGAGCAAAGAAACCAGCAGAUUUCCAUUUUAAAAAAUGCAAGUCAUUCUCCUUACUCACUCUAUAAAAAAAAAAAACACGGAAAUAUGUAAUUAUAAAGCUCAAAAUAGCUUCUUCACGGAAAAAAAUGUGAUUCACACUUCUAAAGAUGCUCAGGCCACAGCUGCAAUCUGUUCUUGUGGCCAAAACCCUUGGGAAGCCAAAUUAAGGGAAGCCACAUUGGGCUUGUUUGCUGGGAUCUAAAACUGUGUCCUGCUCCUGUCCUGCUCCCUGCAGACAGGCCAGAAAGCCCUCUCUGGGAGGAAGAGAGCGAGCUCACUCCAGAGAGAGGUAGCCAGAAGACCUACCAGCUGGAGCUGCCCCUGAUAGCCUGGCUUCCUACAGCCACCAUCUGAGGGGACCUGGCUCCCAUCAAGUCCUGGUGGAUAGGUGCACCUGCUGAGGUGGAGGCAUCUUUGGAGAAGUGCUGUUUACUGGCCUCUCGGAGUCCUCACUGGAGUCCUGCCUAGAACAGAGAUUGAACUCUGUGCUGGUUAAAGUCGAACCCAUUUCCCAUAGAGCGGGAGUGGGUAGAAAAAAAGCAGCAAGCUGAGAGCUGUCUGGAGGCAGUUGGGGAUAUAAUAAAUUAGGAAGUCACACAGCUGUGUGUUCUGAAACACAAGAUUGAAAAUAGAUCAUUUUUUUCCCUCUUGGGGGAACAUACUGUAGUGUUGAUAUUUUCUAAUUCAAAUUUGGACUCAGUGGGCCUUCUCAACCAAAUUACCCUGAGGAGGGGGGGAGGGAGAGGGAUGAAGAGGAGCCCUUUAGUAUAACUCAUUCUCACUUAUUUUAGAAGAAAACAAGAAUGUUGUUUGAGAGGUUUCAGGGUAAAAUGCAAAGUUUAUUAAAAAUUUAGCAAUGUCUGAAGAAUAUUUUUGGAACUGACCCUGAAGCAAACAGAAAGCUACUCUAUUCAUGCAACAAACGCUUAUUAAAUGCAGACUACAUGUAAAACACUGGGCUAGAAGUUAAAAUGGAAGAUGAAUUCACUAUGAGUCUAGUCCUCAAAGGGCUUACAGUCUGUAAGGAAGACAAGAUAUUUACAAAGAAAGUGAAAGCAAUGGGUGAUAGCAUUGCACCAUAGUUAAGGGCAAACAGCACAGGAGAAUCUCACAAUAAUUCACUCCAUCUAAUACCUGCACCAUCUCAGUCUACUCAACCUCUACCUUCAUCUCAGGUUCCUUAUUUGUAAAUGGAGAUGUUGCAGGGGUUAACAGAGGUAACGUGCUUAUUAUUGACUCUGGGAAUUCUCUGUUACAUAGAAGGCAUCCAAUAAACGGCAGUGGUCUCCCUCUUUUUAAAAAAGCAAAUUCCUUUUUUUUUUUUUUUUUUUGAGAUGGAAUCUCACUCUGUUGUCCAGGCUGGGGUGCAGUGGCAUGAUGUUGGCUCACUCCAAUCUCUGCCUUCCGAGUUCAGGCGAUUCUCCAGCCUCAGCCUCCCAGGUAGUUGGGAUUACAGGCUCCCACCAGCAUACCUGGCUAAUUUUUGUAUUUUAGUAGAGACGAGGGUUUCACUAUUUGGCCAGGCUGGUUUCAAACUCCUGACCUCAUGUAAUCUGCCCGCCUCAGCCUCCCAAAGUGGUUGGAUUACAGGUGUGAGCCAUCGUGCCCAGCCAAAAUCAGCAAGUGGUUUUUGAUUGAAGUUCAAGUGCCCAAGGCUGGGAGACCUGAUUGGCAUCGACCUUCUAAUCUACUCAACCACCAGGUAAAUCUUUACAACCAAAGGCUCCAGGUUAAGGAUGAGAAAUAAAAGCAUUCUAGAGCUUUCUGUCCUCAGCUGCUCCCCUAACCACUGCAGACUCCCUGAGAGAAAAACUGACACUAUAGGAAGCCACAGUGUCUGCAAAAAGUGUGUUAACGACUUUAGCUGUGGGUAUGCUUCUGUUUUGUUUUUUUAUUUUUUUUCCAUUUGUUUGUUUCACUCAUGCAUAUUUUGGUUUUGAAAACUUUACAGUUAGCAUUUCGUCAUCUUUUCAGUGCAGUCUGACAUCCUGAUUUCUGUUGUUUUACUUUAUUUUAGUGAGGUUAGUUUAUUUUACCAUCUAUUAGAAUCUUCUAGCAUUCUGCUUAUACUUUCCCUCCAAUUUCAUGCUGCCUUCCAUACUAAUAUUCUACUCUUACAACUUAUGAGGACUUUGAAGGGUAUGGCCUGGUACAUCACGAUCCUACAAGAAAUGCUGAUGACGGUGAUUACUGCUUCAGAAAAAAAAAUAACCCUUGGGUCCAAGCUUGAGAUUUAGAAGAGACUGGCAUCUCUGGAACUAGGGAAAGAUGGUUUUUGCACUUUACACCUUUGGAAUGAGACUAGUCACUUUGAUACUCAUUUUACUGAUGAGACGUGAUGAAGCCAUCCUGCAAAUGGCCUCCGUCAUUGAUUGGAAUCCUGUUACAUUUGUGAUUUUGUUUUAUGAUGUUUCUCCUGCUAUAAGAUGCUUGUAUCCUGAAUUUAAACUUCCUCAUGUAUAUAACCACCGGUAUUUUAGGAAAACGGCAUCCACUAGCAUUGGAAAAGACCAGAAGGGAAGGUGGAUGUAAGUUUCAUCCAAAGAAGGUCCCUGACAGCAACACCGUUGACCUGCUUUGGGAAGAACUAGGUGGUAGUGAGUCUCUCUCAAAUCUCUAAGGGCAAGCAGAGGUGCUCAGCCAGGCUCCGGACACCAUUUCCAGAUGGAGCCUCACUCUGUGGCAGCAGAGUCCCUUCCUCCUCCACAGCCCUCCCGGGCAAGCCUCCUGCCAGGCAGGGCUCCAGCACCUUUUGCUCUUUCAGACACAAGAGGCCAGAGUUAGAACUGAUUUAAAAUACUUCUAUUUUGAAUUUUUCUUCAAGUUAUGUUUUUUAAAACAAUUUUUUUUGGCUAAAACAUUUUUGUAACAAUACAUGACUGUGUGUGUGUGUGAAGAGAAGGAGAGAAAAAGAGGGUGAAUGAUAAAACAUAUGUGGCAAAAUGUUGACGUAACUAUAGAUGAACCUGAGUGAAUGAGUUAUUUUGGCCGGGUGCAGUGGCUCACACCUGUAAUCCCAGCACUUUGGGAGGCUGAGGCGGGUGGAUCACUUGAGGUCAGGAAUUCGAGACCAGCCUGGCCAGCAUGGCAAAAACCCAUCUCUACUAAAUAUAUAAAAAUUAGCCCAGUGUAGUGGUGCAUUCCUGUAAUCCCAGGUACUCAGGAGGCUGAGGCAAGAGAAUUGUUUGAACCCAGGAGGCGGAGGUUGCAGUGAGACAAGAUCGCACCACUGCACUCCAGCCUGGGCAACAGAGUGAGAUCCUGUCUCCAAAAAAAAGAAGGAAAUCUUCUAACUUUCUUGCCAAAAAAAAAAAGUUUUAAAAAUAUAUUUUUAUUUACAUUAUUUUUCUAUGGCUAUUCUUUAUAUCAAUUCUCCCUUACCAAUUCUCAUACCCUUAUUCUUUCAAAUAAAGUCUAGAGUCAUUCUGUGAAGUUUCCACCCUAAUUCCCAGUGGUAAUUUGGAAUGUGAUAUGAGCCUGUCCACUAAUGUAGAGGAACUUGCAUCUUUUUCACAUUGUUUUCUAACCAGGAAGAAAACAUUUUGCUUCUCUAUUUAUUUGAAAUGUCUAUUGUAUAUUUUGGUAAAGUCUUACAGUUUUCUUCACCUAAGUUUCCAAGAUGUUUUCCAUUGGGAUUAUUCCAAAGUAGUUUACAUUUUCAUUGCUACUGUUAAAUAAUCUUUUUUUCCAUUUUAUAAUUAUUGCUGACAUAUGGAACAUCUACUAAGUUUUGUUUAUUCACUAUGUAGCUACUCUUCUAAACCACAUUAGCUUAUCCUUUGCUCCUUCAGGGAUAGAAAGUCUUAUUACCUACAGUUUAAAAUAUUUGUUUCUAUCGAUGAACUCUACCUCUAAUGUGUUUGUAAGUUUUCCAGAUCAAGGAGAAAUAGUAAUGGUGAAUAAUAUCAGCAUCAUACAGCAUCCCAGUUUAGUCUCAGUUUUUGAUGGGAAAGCUGUUUUGGUAUCUUCAUUUUAAGAAUGAUGCUAGCUUGUCACUUUCUGGCAGAUUUUUUUUUUUAAUGAUAAGAAUGUGUCCUAGUCCAUCAUCUUUAACAAA